rnacentral:rRNA from 1 species
GACGAACGCUGGCGGCGUGCUUAACACAUGCAAGUCGAGCGGAAAGGCCCUUUCGGGGGUACUCGAGCGGCGAACGGGUGAGUAACACGUGAGUAAUCUGCCCCUGGCUUUGGGAUAGCCACCGGAAACGGUGAUUAAUACCGGAUACGACCACUUCUCGCAUGGGAUGGUGGUGGAAAGUUUUUCGGCCAGGGAUGUGCUCGCGGCCUAUCAGCUUGAUGGUGAGGUAAUGGCUCACCAUGGCUUCGACGGGUAGCCGGCCUGAGAGGGUGGCCGGUCACCCUGGGACUGGGACACGGGCCAGGCUCCUACGGGAGGCAGCAGUGGGGAAUAUUGGACAAUGGGCGGAAGCCUGAUCCAGCAACGCCGCGUGAGGGAUGACGGCCUUCGGGUUGUAAACCUCUUUCAGCAGGGACGAAGCGCAAGUGACGGUACCUGCAGAAGAAGCACCGGCCAACUACGUGCCAGCAGCCGCCGUAA